UUGGGAGGCGGGCGGCGGCGGCGGCGGCGGGCAAACACCCAUCCACCCGCCAGGCCGACACCACCGCCGCCACCACACAGCUGCUCACGAUUUUGUCCCUUUGAAUGGAGAAAUCUCGCAGACAGACAGGUUUGAAAGGUCCACCUAAAGCAGAAAUAACUCCAGACGAGUGAAGGAGACGUGACGCAGAUGAUGCGGCCCCCGGCGAUCAGCAGACACAAGUGAGGCAACACUCGGAGCGUUAUCGUGGCUGGACUGGACCUACACGCACAAUUAUUGAUGAGUACGACACUGACACACGCUCCAGGCAUAGAAGAGCCGCCGUGUAUAUUCGUCUGAGGAUGAAGAGAUACAGUUGCAGAGGUGAGGUGGCUGGCCCGUCUGACGUAUGAGCUUCGCGUGAUUACAGGAGAUGAGGAGACCCUGAGUUCAAGGUUAUCAUGCGGACUGGGUUUAGGACUCAUCUCAAAAAUUGACUUCCAGCUUCUAGUGGUCAAAGUGAGUCUUGGACGAGGAUCAUAGGCAGACGAGAUAGGCAGAGACAGAACAGGUUUAUCGUAUUCGGUUUAGGGUCUUCAUGGAUGGGUUCAUGAAUGAAUGUUUUUUUUUCUUUCCUUUCACUUUUUUUCUUCCUGGCAUCAAACUUAAUAUUCCAAGAUUUCAGGAUUAUUACCACAAAGAUUCACACUUCAUAGUCUUAUGGUUUGGUCUGUGUAUACAUUCAUAUAUAUUUUUGUAUAUUGUUUUACAUAUUAUAAUAAUUCCAAGAGUGAUUUUUUUUUUUUUAGAUGACACCGUUAAAUACACUUGAGAGCAGUAAACAAAAUUAUGUUGAUUAUUUCCAUAUUUUACAGUUAAAGCCCUUAUAACAUACAUAUAUUUUUCCUACAAUGCCUAUGGCUUUACACAGAAUGGGCUGCUGAAAAUGUAAUAUUCUUUAAAGCCAGUAUUAAUACAACUAGCAACAAAAUUUGUAGUUCUAAAAAUUAUGAAAACAUUUAGUGUAACUUUUACUUAACUACACACGGACUGGUCUAAAAUAUUCCCAAGAGCACAUCCGGACACCAAGCCACUGACCGUAUAGUCAUUGGAGUAAGUGAGUGUGCUCGUAACAGCCACAAAAAAUGAAUAAAUAAAUAAACAGAUCUGUAAGACUGGCGCGGCGGCGGCGGCUGAGGCCGGCGCCAUCGGCUUCCGCCCGCUGCUCGCCGGCUCGGGCUGGUAUGCUUUAUUUACAGGCACAGCGAGGCCAGUCUUGCAGCAUCUUACUACUGAUCGUCCCUAGGACUUAAAAGGACCUACUGAUCGUGUGUAGGGGCGACGGCCUCGCGGCGCCGGGGACACACGAGGCGACGGACAUGGGGCAGAGAAAUUCCUGCUACAAUCGGUCCCAUGACCCGCCGCCGCCCCGCAGUCCCGUCAUGCCACGGAGUUCCAAAAUGGUGCCCGGCAGCCGCAAGCGACCAGUAUACGACUUCUCCGUUAGGUUGCCUCGUUCCUCGGCGGGCGGGAGGCAUCGGCCCAGCGUGUCCCACCGCCGGUGACGUAACUCACUACGGCCUUUCCUUGCCGAGACUCACAGCAAAAACUUGGUGUAGUGAAGCAAGCAUGAUGGCGAGAUCGACAGCGUCCAGGAGCCUAAUUCAUACAUCAGAGCCCUAAAUGGAGUGAUUUACCGACCACCAAGAUGAAGGUUUACACACUGAAGGGCAGCAUGAAGAGGAUCCGCCCUCACCUCUCCUUACCCUGUCCCACUCACGCCCAUGCUCGCCGCCACUUCAAGCGUCAAGAUGAUAACAUUGCCUAUCAGUUGCUUCACGUCGCCCACAGCAAGGAUCAUGUGGUUCUUAAGUUUCUGAGUCAACAUGAACCUUAAGUCAUACAUCGAUCCACUUCAAAUCAUCCUCAACCAACGGAAGAGCAUUCAUGGAUUUGGAAGUAAGCGAGUGAGAGAGCCGGCGAGACAUCGAUCCGGUAUUAAUGUCACUGCAGGUUGAAGGGGAAAUGCCCAAAAGACUUCCUAAAUGCGGCCGUUCGCGUCGCUCUAUAUCAACAUGGAUGUGCAAUAUUUCUCUACAACUGCAAACUGAGCCUCCACUACCCGAGGGAAGUUAACAUGCCUGGAUGAACCCAACUCUUGCAGGUGGAGCAGCGCCAAUGUUCAACACCUAAGCAUCUGAUUGUUAUGCCGCCUCCCGCCAGCCUGUCCUGCACUCCCCGGCCUCCCCUCCAACCCCAUGCCUGCUUGCCUGAUGAGCCGCCAGUCACGAAACAACGAUCCUUCGCCAAGGAAUAUAUAUUUUCUUCCUUCUUCUUUUCGCUCAUUAAUUCAUUAUUAUAUCAUUUAGGCAAUGUCUUCUGAGGAAAUUAUGGCUAGC